rnacentral:lncRNA from 1 species
CAUGAGUUGUUAAUGUGUGCACGGAAGCCACAAGUGUGCAGGACGCAAGCUGGGUUAUUGGAAGCGGACGACACCAAGGAGGCGUUGCCGCGGAUGUGGUGGACGAUGCCAAGUCGUCUUUUAAAAAAGGAAGUGAAGAAUGAUUAAGAGGGUCACGCCCUCUACCACUCCAACCUCUCUAAUCAGUCUCUUUCUGCUCCGUCUGCUGUACAUGCACCUGCUCAGGUGAGACCUCAAGGAAAAAUAAUCCUGUGGGUCCACCUAAUCUGACAACCACAGUUGCUAACAGUAUGAGUUCUGCAGUUAUACAGAACUAAGUCCAUUAGCUGUGUGACCCAUGGCCAAAUAUUUUCCUUCUCUGUGCCUGCAUUUCUUCAUCUGCAAACUGGAAUAAUGAUAGCAACUACUUCAGAGGACUAUGUGAUGAAAAUAAUGCUUCCCUUAGUUGAAAUUCUUAGGAAAAUGGCUCCAUAAAUAUGUAUGUAGGAUGCUAUUACUCACUCAUUAUUGACAGUUGUAUCAAGUGUGAUAUAAAACACAAUUUUCAGUGACAAUGGAAUAAUUACAGUCUUGUAGUCUUGGAAUAGCCCCUGAUCACUACUGUUGCUGAUUCUGUCAUUAUAUUUUGUGUCACCUGGUUCCCAGUGGACUGUCAACACUCUUUACAUCCUGGAAUCUGAAAUCAAUUUUGUUGAGUUAACAAAGCUACAUCAUUACAUGUAUCAACUGGGGGAUCUCAGAUAAAUUCAUAUGGGUCUGAUUAUCCUUAAAUAAACCAUAUAAACAGUAGAUUGUUAUAACUGACAAGGGAUCGUGUUCUGUCUAGUCAGAGAACUUAAGUUAGGGAGGCAUGCUGUACAAAGUAUAAAAAUGUUUCAAAGGAUAGAAUUGUUAAAUUUCUGUUGUUUUAAGCCACCCAUUGUGUAGUACUCUGUUAUAGUAGCCCAAGAAAACCAAUACACUGUAUAAUGGAACAUUAUUUAGCCAUAAAAAAUGAAUUAAGGGCUGAUACAUGCUACAAUGCAGACAGACUUUAAGAAAACAUAAUGUUAAGUACAAGAAACCAGACACACAAGACUAUUUAUUAUGUGGUUCCACUUAUAUGAGACGUCUAAAACAGAAAAAUCUAUAGAGAUAAGCAAAUUAGCACAUGUCAAGGGCUGGGGUGAAAUGUAGAGUGACUACUAAUGAGUACACAAUUUUUUUUGAGAUGAUGAAAAUGUUCUAAAAUUGUCGUGAUAGUUGCAUAACUCUGUCAUUAUACCAAAAAAAUCAUUGAAUUGUAUAAUUUAAAAAGUAUGUGAAUUAUAUCUCAAUAAAAUAUUUUAAAAACAGAAUUAUUUAACAUAGUUGUGGUUGUAUUAGUGAACAACAAGCUAUCAUUGAAAGUCAGCUUCAUGAAAUUUCCUAAGUGAUAUUUUGAAAUACUAGGUUAUUCACCCAUACAUUUCCUUAAAUCAAAGGAAAUCCCUGCACCUGGAGUAAGACCACCCAACUACCAGCAGGAAAAGAGUAUUCAAAGACUCACUUGGAGUAAUAAUUAUCUAGUAGGAGUCAGGUGGGACUCCUAGAAAUUUGUAUGUGCUCCUUGGAGACCGUCCAACCCUCUCUGUUGCAAUAUUCACAACCCUAUCCCCAUUACCUGAUUUGGGACCAUCUGUUCUUAAACACUUCUGUGAAUCUUUCUUUCAUUGUAUAACAUUAAUUGAAAUGAACUUUUUCCUUGAGGACACUGUUUCCCAUGUAGACCUUUCAAGCAGUGGAUUUUUUUUACUUCCACAUACCACAACACAGAAAAAAAGGUUUACUUUUCAUGUAUUUCUUUUCUUUUAAGACCUACUCUAAGUAGUAGAAUUUUUUAUCAGUGAGAUUUAUUUGCCUUGCUUAUGGAGACUCACUUUGACUAACAUUAGAUACUUAAUUUUUUAUGUGGAUUAGUACACAAUUAUAUUCAAUUUUCUCAAAGAGUACACAUUCUCUCAAAGCAGCGUAUUAAAACCAAAAUGUUUUAUGUGACCCUAAGUUCUCUUUUCCCCAAGGUGACAUAAUAACAAUAUUUCUUAGAAAUUUCUUCAUGCACAGGGAGACAGCUGAUCUUUUAUCAUGUCUCAAGGACAUAUCAUCAUAAAUGGAUGGCAUUCUAAUAAAUGGAAAUUAAAUGGUGCGAUAGAUUGUUCUGGUACUGAGAAGGAAGGUCUGGGCUAGUUAAUUAGACUUAACAGUCAUUUAGACAAAAGAUAAAAAGAUGAUGGAACUUCACUGGAGUGAGGUUACUUGCUUUCCUUCAGCCUACACUCUCAGUUCUGCUAAUGACCUAUUUGUUUCUCAAACCUAGUCUACCCUGGCCAUAUCGACCCCAAAGAGAAACUAGAUAACUUAUGCCAACUUGAGGCAAUAACUGGGAGAUUAGAGAGAUAACCAGCAAUUGGUACCUUCUUUUCUUUUUCCUUCUUUCUUUAUCUUCCUCCCCUCAAAUAGUCCAGAAGUUAAUAUGGCUCAUUUUUUUCCUUUGCUCCGUGUGAAUGGAUUAGUAACGAUUGCUUUGAAAUAACCUAAAACAAUGCCCUACAGAUACAUUAGCCGCCAUUUCCUGUGCAGAAUUCUUCAUUAGCUCUGCUCAAACCUUAUACUUUGAUGACCUCUGCCUCCUUCUACAUUUUUCUCUCAUGAUUAUUGCACCAAAAUUCCAUUUUGUUAUCAAAUCUAGGACCUUAGGGGGAGUCAUGAAGCAUGCUGUCUCCCUUGCCCAUUCUCUCUUACAUAGCCCAACAAAUCCACCCAUUAGAACAAUUACCUUUUUACUUCCUGAAUUUGUCCCCAACCACUUAUCUUGUCUAUUACCACUGUCUCAGCUUCAUGCAGGAUCUAAUUUUUUUCAGAACUAUUGUAAUAUUCUUCUAAUUGGGCUCUCUGCUUAGUCUUGCUUUUAACUAAUACAUCGAAUGGCUGUCAAUGUGAUCUUAAGUAACAUAUAUCAAUCACUAUGUUACUCCCUUUGUAAACUCCUUCAGUGAAUUUCAUAUUUUUUUAAAAAAAAUCUAAGUCUCCUGGAAUAACACAUAAACCUGAACUUAUAUGAAUAAUUCUUUUUCAGAGUUUGCCAAAAGAAAAUGAAAAAGUCAAGUAAAACAGUUUAAUUAAAAAUAAUCACCUUUCUCACUUCUUAAAAAAUUCAGACCUUAUCUCGUCAUUUGGUCUCAUAGCUUUUGUUUUUCCCUUUUUAAAAAUUGCUCUCUCUCCAUCUCAGUCUACAGUAGGAUCUUGAUGCAUAAGAGCUUUUAUAUUUCCACACAUUUAAAUGUUAUUAUUUCUACUCCAUGGAAUGCCCUUUCCUUUCAUGACGC